rnacentral:rRNA from 1 species
GCAGUCGCCGCGGUAAAACGGAGGGUGCAAGCGUUAAUCGGAAUUACUGGGCGUAAAGCGCACGCAGGCGGUCUGACAAGUCAGAUGUGAAAUCCCCGGGCUCAACCUGGGAACUGCAUUUGAAACUGGCAAGCUAGAGUCUCGUAGAGGGGGGUAGAAUUCCAGGUGUAGCGGUGAAAUGCGUAGAGAUCUGGAGGAAUACCGGUGGCGAAGGCGGCCCCCUGGACGAAGACUGACGCUCAGGUGCGAAAGCGUGGGGAGCAAACAGGAUUAGAUACCCGAGUAGUCCCUGUCUCUUAUAC